GAUGAACGCUGGCGGCGUGCUUAACACAUGCAAGUCGAACGAAGCACUUUAACCUGAUUCUUCGGAUGAAGGUUUUUGUGACUGAGUGGCGGACGGGUGAGUAACGCGUGGGUAACCUGCCUCAUACAGGGGGAUAACAGUUAGAAAUGACUGCUAAUACCGCAUACGACCACAGAGCCGCAUGGCUCGGUGGGAAAAACUCCGGUGGUAUGAGAUGGACCCGCGUCUGAUUAGGUAGUUGGUGGGGUAACGGCCUACCAAGCCAACGAUCAGUAGCCGACCAGAGAGGGUGACCGGACACAAUGGGACUGAGACACGGCCCAAACUCCUACGGGAGGCAGCAGUGGGGAAUAUUGCACAAUGGGGGAAAACCUGAUGAAGCGACGCCGCGUGAGCGAAGAAGUAUUUCGGUAUGUAAAGCUCUAUCAGCAGGGAAGAAAAUGACGGUACCUGACUAAGAAGCACCGGCUAAAUACGUG
rnacentral:rRNA from 1 species